rnacentral:rRNA from 1 species
UACGUAGGUGACCAGCGUUGUCCGGAUUUACUGGGCGUAAAGAGCGCGCAGGCGGUCGUUCAAGUCGAGUGUGAAAGCCCCCGGCUCAACUGGAGAGGGUCAUUCGAUACUGAUCGACUCGAAGGCAGGAGAGGGAAGCGGAAUUCCCGGUGUAGUGGUGAAAUGCGUAGAUAUGCGGAGGAACACCGAUGGCGAAGGCAAUCCCCUGGGCCUGCACUGACGCUCAUGCACGAAAGCGUGGGGAGCAAACAGG